UUUAAAGAGGGUUUGUUUACUAAUUUUUCGCGCCACGCCCCGGUGGUGGAGUCAGCUGACAUGCCUGCAAAGAAAUAGGCUGCUAGCGCUUUUCCUCGCAGAAUGGAAGUAGUCGUGGAGGCGAUAAGGACUAAAGUCGUUUGACUCAGCAGGAUUCUGAACUCUUAGGCUUUUUUUCUUUUGUUUUCUUUUUGUUUUCCGGUUAUAGGACAGUCAUUACAACGAAGCCGAUCUGUGUGGCUGCUCGUCUCAAAGCGCACCCCGUAUGGACGAUGAGGAGGACGAUGUGUUUGAGCCAAAAGCCAACUGUUGGCGCACCACAUUCAGGGAGAUAAAGUGUGAACAUCGAGGCACACAGACACCCGGUCCUGCCCUGGUACCAAACAACGGCAUGCUGCCCUGUGGAGUCGCAGAGGAGCCCAGACCACUCUUCUACGGUAACGCAGGUUUUCGAUUGCACUUCCCGGCACGCUUCGAACUCGUCGGGGAUCACAGAGCGAGGCAACAAGAAAGCGCGGAGCAGCAAAACAGCAUGGAGCGCCUGCCCCGGCAGCAACCUGCGGCUCGCAGCGUGGAGGCCUGCAUCGGACAGAAACUCCAGCUCAUAGGAGACCAGUUUCACUGGGAACGCCUGCAACUGUAUCACCGAAACCAAAGGAACCAGGGGCCGAUGUGGUGGCGCCUGGCCGCGGCCCUUCUCAGCCUUCUGUUUGACAGGGGGUUCAUAGCCGGAGGAGGGGGUGGAGGACGGAGGUGAGGCGACCUCGUCCCCCGUUUUCCAUUCAUCUCUGUGAGGAACUGGACUCUUACUGGCACUGUCUAAUCUAACACGGGUCUGUUUGGGGGAGAAAACAAUUGAGGUCACCGCGGGACGGAGACAACCAACUUUUAUACCAGACCUCCAUGCCCUUGAAGUGGAGCUGUGGAUCCACUGUUUUUGCACUAUACCACCCUUCAAAAGAUCCGAAUGUUGACAAGCUAACCUCUGUCUCGUAUGAAGGUUUUUUGUUUGUUUUUUUUGGUUUGUUUAUUUGUUUUUUUUCAUUUACCACCUGUUUCCUUACCACCGCAUUUCACAUUUAUCCAUUCACACUGUGUUGAGAUGAGUAAACAGUGUUGAGGCCUGACUGAACGCAGUCUGGAAUCCGGGUUGGAUGACGCUUCUCGAAAGAUCGCUCGCGCAGUUUUUCAGACCACACUGAAGAGUUGGACAGAGACACGUUGGCUCGGUUAAAAAGGUUUUGAUUUUUUUUGUUGUUUUUUUCACGGCCCCGCUGUAUCUGCAGAACAUCAAAACAAUAUGCCGAACCCAGUGCGUAAAAUUAAAUCUCUCAGGCCACCUUUUAUGGGGUAUUAUAUAUUGUCAUUGGUGCUGAGAUCCAGAUUUGGGAUGUUUGAGCACAUAUAAUCACCACUGACUCAGCAGACGGGCAGUCUCUGAAACGGACAAAAACAGAAAAGAAAAAGUGAAAAAGACUGUAAUUAUUGUUGAAAUAUGAAUAUGUUUAAAGACACUGUCAAAGAUGCUGUUUGUUGUUUUGUUUUAAUCUUCUUUCAUUGCUGAACCCAGGCCAACUUUUGGACCCAAGGAGCAGUACAUAUCAGGGGUCUGUAAUUACUUGCUCCUUACAAUGUGUCAAGUUUAUCACUGCAUGAUGAUUAGGUUCUUUUUUUUUUUUAGUUCUUGUUUUUGGGUUCUUUUUUGGGUUUUUUCUCAAGAUGUCUCAGGGACAGACUUUUGUGGGCUACUGGUAACCUUGAGAAUCUGUUACAUGGUUAGAAGAAGAGCUGUUCUCGCCGAUUAAUACGUGACGAAACCCCCUCGAGGUGUUGUCGAUUCUCCCAUCUCCAUUUUAACCUAGAUCUCGGCCAACUUUCUCAGCACACGCUUCUUAAAGGUACCGUUCGACUGAGGAGUUUGAGGCUGACUUGCUGGCUGUGGUGGGGACGGAGCUACUGAGCGUAGUAGUCAUAGGUGGUGCGAGGUGCACUGAAUGUGGUUGUGGUUGUAGUUUCCUGCGGAUCGUGAACGCUGAGCCAGUCCGUGUAGCUCCCCGUCUCACCAUCAGCUCUUGACUUCCUCUUUGUGCUGCUCCUUCAUUACAUGGUUGUUGUUCAUCGGUUCACUUUCUUUGUAAUUUAUUUUACUUUCUUCUUCUUUUAUUUAUUUCAGUGUAUUUGCCCAUUUCUACUGUAUACACCUGUGUGUGCAAUUACUUCAUUGUUUUCCUUUUUUCUAUUUUGGUCUCCCGGACUUGUGUACGCUUCGGCUGUUUGGCUCUGUGGAGAGCAGGCUGGCGAUCGUUACGCCUUCUUCACCUUUGGAAGAACAACUACUGUAUUCAUGUAGUUACGAUUAUUUUUUAAGUGGCGGCAAGCGUCACUGCUAAGCCAAUCAUCUAAACCGAGCAAACAUGAAUUCGUGUUAAGUACAGGUGCUGCUCUUCACAAAGAAGAAAACUACAGACUACAGAUGAGUGUUUGAUACUCAAAUUUCCACCAUCCAAAAAUGACAUCUUCCCACACGACCUCUCCCUCAUAACAAGUAACAACAGACAUGACAUUAGACACAAAAAGGUUGCUUUCCUUCUCAAGUCACGGGGCGUCAGUUUACUCGUAUGUGUUCAAUUCUUUAAUCCUAAUCAUUGUGUUGUAAUCAGUAUGCACUGGAAAGUACUUUGUAUCUGUAAAUCCCUUAGGUUUCUUAUCUGUUGAGUGUUGAUGUAUAGUAUAUACUCUGAUUUGUUCUCCUGAGUUGAUCUCGCCACGUGUCAGGCAUAUUCGGUGCAGCGAGCAAGUAGGCUCGGGUGCGAUGGCCCAGUUUGAUUUAUUGGAAAGGGAAACAAGCCACCAUGGUGCCCUGUAUAAUUUUGUUAGAAUGAGGUUCCCGAGCCUCAAACGGCAUACGUGAGCGCAGAGAAUCCCAAGAGAGAGCGAGAAAGAGACAUGCGUAUUUUAUUGAAACCGUCAGUGUCUUGAAUUUUGUAGUCCACUUUAUAUAAAUUUGAAGUUGUUUUUUUUCCUUUGAGGAAAGUUUUGAAUUUUUAUAAGUAAUAACAUUUCUUCUUCGUGGUUUUUCUUAACGUUCUUUUUUUAAAAUUGUAUUUUCUUAAGAAAAGGGGUCUGCUUUUAUAAGGACACUUCACGCUUGUAAAAUGACUUUUAAUACCAGUAGGAUCCUUUUUGAAGUCAAUGAGAUCAAGAGCAUUUUGGGUUUUUAGUUGUUUUUUUUAAAGACAAACGAGCUUGCGACAUUCCUUGCACAUCUUACUGUCCUGUAUACACAAAACCAAAUGAAUUCAUGGUUGCGGUUGAUUUUGCUCUUGAGCUCGUAACCAUGAAACUGUCCUUUCUUUUUACAGAACUGAUAAAGUGUAAAUGUAUUUCUAAAAAAAAUUUAAAAACAAGACAAAAAAAAGAAAGAAAGAAAAAACCCUGGAAUAUGCCUUUAACUGCUCAGUUUCAAUGAAGUCUUGAUUAUCACACACUCUCUGUAUACCAAGAAAUGAGACCCAGCGAAAAUGUAGCAUUUUUGUAACAUUGACUGUGUGUUUUCGAGACUCUACUGUGCACUCAUUUUUAUGUUUAUAUACAUUUUUUUUCUUUUUUUGGUUGUUGAUAUAAUAAUGGAAGUAAAGACAAUUUGUUAUGUAGUGCAAUAUGCUGUACAUGCGGAGCUUUGCUCUACAAAUCCUUUUUUUUUCUUCUGGAUUUCUUGUUGCUUAUUGGUACUUUUUUUCAAUAAAAUUUUAUUGAAGGUG